UACGGGGGGGGCUAGCGUUGUUCGGAAUUACUGGGCGUAAAGGGCGCGUAGGCGGCCUACUAAGUCGGACGUGAAAUCCCUCGGCUCAACCGGGGAACUGCGUCCGAUACUGGUGGGCUCGAAUCCGGGAGAGGGAUGUGGAAUUCCAGGUGUAGCGGUGAAAUGCGUAGAUAUCUGGAGGAACACCCGUGGCGAAAGCGGCGCGCUGGACCACUACUGACGCUGAAGAACGAAAGCUAGGGGAGCAAACAGG
rnacentral:rRNA from 1 species